GACGAACGCUGGCGGCGUGCUUAACACAUGCAAGUCGAACGGUGAAGCGCCUUCCUUUUUGGUGGGUGUGGAUGAGUGGCGAACGGGUGAGUAACACGUGAGUAACCUGCCCCCUUCUUCUGGAUAACCGCAUGAAAGUGUGGCUAAUACGGGAUAUUCUGGGUCUGUCGCAUGAUGGGUCUGGGAAAGAUAUUGUUUCGGUGGGGGAUGGGCUCGCGGCCUAUCAGCUUGUUGGGGGGGUGAUGGCCUACCAAGGCGGUGACGGGUAGCCGGCCUGAGGGGGUGGACGGUCACACUGGGACUGAGACACGGCCCAGACUCCUACGGGAGGCAGCAGUGGGGAAUAUUGCACAAUGGGCGCAAGCCUGAUGCAGCGACGCCGCGUGAGGGAUGGAGGCCUUCGGGUUGUGAACCUCUUUCGCCAGUGAAGCAGGCCUGCCUCGUUUGUGGGUGGGUUGACGGUAGCUGGAGAAGAAGCGCCGGCUAACUACGUG
rnacentral:rRNA from 1 species